GAGUUUGAUCAUGGCUCAGAUUGAACGCUGGCGGCAUGCCUUACACAUGCAAGUCGAACGGCAGCACGGGAGCUUGCUCCUGGGUGGCGAGUGGCGAACGGGUGAGUAAUGCAUCGGAACGUAUCCUGGAGUGGGGGGAUAACGUAGCGAAAGUUACGCUAAUACCGCAUACUCUGUGAGCAGGAAAGCGGGGGACCUUCGGGCCUCGCGCUCUUGGAGCGGCCGAUGUCGGAUUAGCUAGUUGGUGAGGUAAAGGCUCACCAAGGCGACGAUCCGUAGCAGGUCUGAGAGGAUGACCUGCCACACUGGAACUGAGACACGGUCCAGACUCCUACGGGAGGCAGCAGUGGGAUUUUGGACAAUGGGGGCAACCCUGAUCCAGCCAUGCCGCGUGAGUGGAGAAGGCCUC
rnacentral:rRNA from 1 species